CCGAUUAGGGUGUGCCCCGGGCUUGCCUAGGGUGGGGCAGUGCCCUACGCAGUUCUGCCCAGAAGCCAGACCUAACUCUAAUUGGAGAUCUGCACUCCCAGGCAGUGGGAACCAGGAAAAGCACAUUUAUUCAUAGGGAGCUUCAAACGGGGAGCAACCCAAAUGCAACGGAUAAACUGUGGUAUGCCCUGGGAACACCACUCGGCAAGAAAAAGGGACAGAACUACUGAUAAUCAUAACAUACAUGGAUCCCAGAUGCAUUACACUAAGUGAAAGCA